GUGUUGCAUGAAAGGAGAGAAGGUGAGCCCUCCCUUCAACAAUGACAGAAGAGGCCCGUGUGACAGGAACAUGGUUAAGGCACUGUUCCCCUCUUCCUCGCGCUCCACCAUCAUUCCCA
rnacentral:ncRNA from 1 species